GGGUGAUUGAAUAAUUCAUUGAGAAAUUGGAAAAAUAGGAGAGAAUUGCUGACAGUUCGUAGAAGGUAAUUGCAUUCUUGGUCUCGAAAUGGAAAACACUCAGAGGAUCAGAGGCUACAGUCUCCAGACAUUUGCGAUUGUUGGGGCUGGACAAUGGAACUAAGCAACAGUGAAGCUACGUGUCAGUUUUAUUUGAAUAUGGAUACAGCGUCUCAAUGGAAAAUGCAGAAACAAAUGCUGUUCUUUGACAGAACUAUGGCCAUUGCACGCUAUGGCCAUUUUGUC